rnacentral:rRNA from 1 species
GAUGAACGCUAGCUACAGGCUUAACACAUGCAAGUCGCGGGGCAGCAUGGGGGUUGCUUGCAAUCCCCGAUGGCGACCGGCGCACGGGUGAGUAACGCGUAUCCAACCUGCCCUUCACCACGGGAUAACCCGGCGAAAGUCGGACUAACACCGUAUGUUGUCCAUUGACGGCAUCCGAUUUGGACGAAAGGCUUGGCGGUGAGGGAUGGGGAUGCGUCCGAUUAGCCAGACGGCGGGGUAACGGCCCACCGUGGCUACGAUCGGUAGGGGUUCUGAGAGGAAGGUCCCCCACACUGGAACUGAGACACGGUCCAGACUCCUACGGGAGGCAGCAGUGAGGAAUAUUGGUCAAUGGGCGUAAGCCUGAACCAGCCAAGUAGCGUGCAGGAUGACGGCCCUAUGGGUUGUAAACUGCUUUUAUGCGGGGAUAAAGUGGCCCACGUGUGGGCUUUUGCAGGUACCGCAUGAAUAAGGACCGGCUAAUUCCGUG